rnacentral:rRNA from 1 species
AUCAUUAACGAGUUAGGGUCUCUCUGGCCCGACCUCCCAACCCUAUGUCUACUUGACCAUCGUUGCUUCGGCGAGCCCGUCCUCACGGACCGCCGGAGGGACCUUCACCGGCCCUCUGGUCCGCGCUCGUCGGUAGCCCAACCAUUAAAAUCUUUAACCAAACGUGCCUUAAUCUAAGUACAAUUAUUAAAUAAAAGCAAAACUUUCAACAACGGAUCUCUUGGUUCUGGCAUCGAUGAAGAACGCAGCGAAAUGCGAUAAGUAAUGCGAAUUGCAGAAUUCCAGUGAGUCAUCGAAUCUUUGAACGCACAUUGCGCCCUUUGGUAUUCCGAAGGGCAUGCCUGUUCGAGCGUCAUUAUCACCCCUCAAGCCCCCUGGCUUGGUGUUGGACGGUUUGGUGGAGGCCCCCUCGGGGGCUCCUGCCCCUCCCAAAGACAAUGACGGCGGCCUCGUUGGACCCCCGGUACACUGAGUUCUUCACGGGACACGUAUCGGAUACAUGGGUUUACGGGACACGGUCUGCCUCCCCUCAGGGAGAAUCUUUCUAAGGUUGACCUCGGAUCAGGUAGGGAUA